rnacentral:rRNA from 1 species
GACGAACGCUGGCGGCGUGCUUAACACAUGCAAGUCGAACGGAAAGGCCCUGCUUGCAGGGUGCUCGAGUGGCGAACGGGUGAGUAAGACGUGGGUGAUCUGCCCCUUACUUUGGGAUAAGCCUGGGAAACUGGGUCUAGUACUGGAUAGGACCAUGCUGUAGGUGGUGUGGUGGAAAGAUUAGUUUCGGUGAGUGAUGAGCUCGCGGUCUAUCAGCUUGUUGGUGGGGGAAUGGGCUACCAAGGCGUCGACGGGUAGACGGCCUGCGAGGGUGGUCGGCCACGUUGUGACUGAGAUGCGACGCAGCCUCCUACGAGAGGCAGCAGUGGGGAAUAUUGCACAAUGGUCGCAAGCCGUAUGCAGCGACGCCGCGUGGGGCAUGACGGCCUUCUUGUUGUAAACACCUGUCAUCCAUGACGAAGCCCUUGUGGUGACGGUAGUGGUAGAAGAAGCACCGGCUAACUACGUG